rnacentral:rRNA from 1 species
ACGGUCCUAAGGUAGCGAAAUUCCUUGUCGGGUAAGUUCCGACCCGCACGAAAGGCGUAACGAUUUGGGCACUGUCUCAACGAGGGACCCGGUGAAAUUGAAAUACCUGUGAAGAUGCAGGUUACCCGCGACUGGACAGAAAGACCCCAUGGAGCUUUACUGUAACCUGACAUUGGGUUUUGAUACAUUACGUACAGGAUAGGUGGGAGGCUUGGAAAGUUGGACGCUAGUCUGACUGGAGCCGACGUUGGGAUACCACCCUUGAUGUAUUGAAAUUCUAACCGCGAGAGUAACGAAAUCCGGGACAGUGUCAGGCGGGCAGUUUGACUGGGGCGGUCGCCUCCGAAAGAGUAACGGAGGCGCCCAAAGGUUCCCUCAGCGCGGCCGGAAAUCGCGCGAAGAGUGUAAAGGCAGAAGGGAGCUUGACUGCGAGUCAAACACGACGAGCAGGUACGAAAGUAGGGCUUAGUGAUCCGGUGGUACCGAGUGGAAGGGCCAUCGCUCAACGGAUAAAAGCUACCCUGGGGAUAACAGGCUAAUCUCUCCCAAGAGUCCAUAUCGACGGGGAGGUUUGGCACCUCGAUGUCGGCUCAUCACAUCCUGGGGCUGAAGUCGGUCCCAAGGGUUGGGCUGUUCGCCCAUUAAAGUGGUACGCGAGCUGGGUUCAGAACGUCGUGAGACAGUUCGGUCCCUAUCCAUCGCGGGCGCAAGAGAUUUGAAGGGGGCUGCUCCUAGUACGAGAGGACCGGAGUGGACGAACCGCUGGUGUACCAAUUAUCCCGCCAGGGGUACAGUUGGGUAGCUACGUUCGGAAAGGAUAAACGCUGAAAGCAUCUAAGCGUGAAACCAGCCUUAAGAUGAGAUCUCUCAUAGAGCAAUCUAGUAAGACACCUUAAAGAAGAUGAGGUUGAUAGGUCGGGAGUGUAAGUACAGCAAUGUAUUGAGCGGACCGAUACUAAUAUGUCGAGGGCUUGACUUA